AAGACUAUACUUUCAGGGAUCAUUUCUAUAGUUCUUGACUUGAGAAAUGUGUUUCUAAAGUGAUUGGUCUCGCUAACUACGAUGACGAGAGGAGAUAUUCCUUCCUGAGCGUGAAGCUGACAGAGAAUAAUGAUUCGUCAUAAGUUCUCUGUCAUUGAUGAACGUUCACUGCUUCUUUGUGGAGCAGAGAGGGAAGGAAUAUGUUCAGAGUAGU